GCGUUGUCCGGAAUCACUGGGCGUAAAGGGCGCGUAGGUGGCGCGGUAAGCGUGUGGUGAAAGCCCGGGGCUCAACCCCGGGUCGGCCAUGCGAACUGCUGGGCUUGAGCAUAGUAGAGGCAGGUAGAAUUCCGGGUGUAGCGGUGGAAUGCGUAGAGAUCCGGAAGAAUACCGGUGGCGAAGGCGGCCUGCUGGGCUAUUGCUGACACUGAGGCGCGACAGCGUG
rnacentral:rRNA from 1 species